rnacentral:lncRNA from 1 species
UUAGAGUAUCAAGGAAACUCUUAAGAACCUCUCUAAGCUUUAAGGCUACUUCGCUUAGGAACCAGUCUUUUACGGGUAGACUCACACCUUAGAGUAUCAAGGGCACUUUUAAGAAUCUCUAACUUUUGCGGGUAAGUUAGUACCUUAGAGUAUCAAGGAAUUUUAAAAAACAUCUCUAAGCUUUAAGGCUACUUCGCUUAGGAACCAGUCUUUUACGGGUAGACUCACACCUUAAAGUAUCGAGGGCACUCUUAAGAACCUCUAAUUUUUACGGGUAAGUUAGUAUCUUAGAGUAUCAAGGAACUCUUAAAAAUCUAGAAAUCUUUUCAAGGUAGAUUCGACCUAAGAGUUUUCCCGGAAACUCUAUAAAACCAAACUAGAGCUUUAUGGUUGAGCUCAAAAACCUUCUCUCACACUUUGGUACUAUUGAGACAACCCUCUCAACCAAAGUGGACACACACAAGAGGUGAUUAGAGAAAUGGAAUAUUAAAGCAAACAACACUUCCUACUUGUAAAGAUGAACAAGAAGAUUAGAAGAAGAAGUUGGAGAGCUUUUGAAGCUUUGGAAAGCUAGGACACUUGAGCACUUGAAAGCUUGGAAGCUUAGAGGCAAAAACGUGUGGGCAAGUGUGGAGUGAAAGCUCUUGAGUUUGCUUGUAGUGUGGUAAGUGAAAAUGAGGGGAUUACCCUUCUUUUUAUUGCCUUGGC